CUAGGGGGUAUGUGUAGAUGUACUCACAGCUACCUUGCCCUUCCUACGUCACACAACCCUAGUCUAUGACAAGUGUUCUCUGUCAUCACCUCCCCACCCCCCACACACUCCCCCCAGUAAUCCAAAACUUGAAACACCAAUGAUGAUAGAAGAAGCUCUCCUGUAAUAACUGAUAUUUAAAUCCAAUACAGAGGUGCUACAUAGAAGGCAGCAUCACUGACUUUGAUGGCCAAGAACUCCAUAAGACUCCAUGAAAGACAGCUAACCCAUACCUAACAAGUUUUCUGUAUAAAGAUAUUCUGUACAGCACUAAUUCCUAGGUCUGAAUAAUGUCUUCAGAAAUGUAACAAUAUGGAGCCAUUACGCUAUGAUAACAGAAUGGAUCAGAUAAUAUCACAAGACUACUUAACGCUGUACAUUUUUGAAAAAUGUUCCUAUCUCUAAGCAACAAAGAGGCCUUUAUUUUUCUCUGGGACGGAAGGAAGCAAAUCCCACCCGCCUUGAGGCAUUUGAUUUCAAGGGCCCUCUCUUCAGGCAGCAUGUGUUUGUGGGGAGCAGAGGCUCGGCAUACACGCAGCUAUAAGCAACUUGCCAAAACCCACUCGGCAAAACACCGUCCCGCUGACGUAGCUGAGGGGGUGACUGCCGUGAGAAGCCACAUGGAGCAAACCCUCCAGUCUCUCCAGAGUGGUGGGAUGAAUAAUAUUACUGGAUGAUGUGUGGGCAUUUAAUCAGACCCACAUGUAUGCAAAAUCAAACACACAUAUAUGCAGAGCGACUAAAGAACAGAGACUUAUCUGUCCGGAUUCUGGAGCAACAUGAAAAAAAAAGAUAGAUUUUUUUCUUCAAACCCAAAUCUGUUCCCUUAUACACUGUAGAUGUAUUACAAAUUACUUUUUUUUUUUUUUUCAAAGAAAGAGAUUAAAAAUG
rnacentral:lncRNA from 1 species